UAGCAUUUGCAUGACCCAGGCGACAUCUUCUUUCAUCUUGGUUGAUGAAAUCGGUCACGCGUGUCUAUUCUUAUCUCUAGUUGCUUCACCUACGGCAUCUCCAUGACCCAAGCGACAUCUUCUUUCAUCUUGGCUGAUCGGAUCAGUCACGCGUGUCUAUUCUUAUCUUUGGUUGCUACACCUACAGGUGAUAAAGUUAGGUUGUUGGAUCCAUUUGAUAGUGUUGUUGUUGGCAUUGGGGUGAUUCACUCCCUAUCUAUUCUACAUGGAGUAAACUUAAAAGGAAUAGGGGACGCAAAUGUGAACAUUUUAAUGGUCACAAGUAAGAUACCUCUUCCUUAUGAAGACAAAAUAGAUGGAAUCGUCCGUCUGAAAGAGAAAGAGGGAACCUUCGCAAGGUGGCCAUUAAAAUAUUUGUAGAAAAUGUUUUGAAAGAGUUGGAAACUCUUAGACAACUUUGACAUUUUUUAUUAUAUUUACAUAUAUACCCUUAGACAAA